GUGCUUGCUUGCUCGGCAGCACAUCUACUAAAACUGGAACAGAAGAUUAGCACAGCCCCUGAGUAAGGAUGACACUCAGAUUCAUGACGUGUUUCAUUAAGAA
ensembl:snRNA U6 U6 spliceosomal RNA